rnacentral:rRNA from 1 species
UGGGGAAUUUUGGACAAUGGGCGAAAGCCUGAUCCAGCAAUGCCGCGUGUGUGAAGAAGGCCUUCGGGUUGUAAAGCACUUUUGUCCGGAAAGAAAUCCUUGGCUCUAAUACAGUCGGGGGAUGACGGUACCGGAAGAAUAAGCACCGGCUAACUACGUGCCAGCAGCCGCGGUAAUACGUAGGGUGCAAGCGUUAAUCGGAAUUACUGGGCGUAAAGCGUGCGCAGGCGGUUUGCUAAGACCGAUGUGAAAUCCCCGGGCUCAACCUGGGAACUGCAUUGGUGACUGGCAGGCUAGAGUAUGGCAGAGGGGGGUAGAAUUCCACGUGUAGCAGUGAAAUGCGUAGAGAUGUGGAGGAAUACCGAUGGCGAAGGCAGCCCCCUGGGCCAAUACUGACGCUCAUGCACGAAAGCGUGGGGAGCAAAACAGGAUUAGAUACCCCUGGUAGUCCACGCCCUAAACGAUGUCAACUAGUUGUUGGGGAUUCAUUUCCUUAGUAACGUAGCUAACGCGUGAAGUUGACCGCCUGGGGAGUACGGUCGCAAGAUUAAAACUUCAAAUGAAUUGACGGGGUCAUAGCUG